UGCAAUUAUAUGAUCUUAAUCGUAUCCGGUCAUAUACACGUAUAGACACAAGCUGUGCUUGUACAUGCGUAUAAGUAUCGGAAAUUAAACUUCUUUUCUUCAGUAGUAAUUAACGUAUAUUUAUGCAUUAUCUUACAAAUAGAAAUCAGGACGCACAUGUUAACUUAUGUGACCUCUGUAUCAUUAAAUCAAAUUAAACUUGUAAUUCUGUUAUAUUUUACAUGAUUUGUUUUAUAAUUAUAGUCGAACAGGCUAGAAUAGAUGGGAAUAAACAACUGUAUUUAUUUCUUGACCGCUGUUUUAUUUUAUCAAUACCCGGAAAGAUAAAAUUCGACCUUGGUGGGAUUUGAACUCAAAACGUAAAGGGACACAACUAUAUAAUCACAGUGAUAUUGCUGCAGUGUGUUUGCAGAAGGAAAUUUUCUAGAAGUUGAUUCCAAUGGAAUUUGAACACAGAACUAAAUACCACAAUCUUUCUGUCAAUUGAUUGUGUUACUCACAUCCUCAUAAUAAUUAUGGUAAUGAUUUCUAACAAAUCCACAAGACCUCAAAUUUUGUAUGGGCACCAAUUAUAGAAAGCUGAAGAAAUUUUCUUCUAAAAGACAGAUUAAUUUACAAGAUGCGGUGCUUAUUCUGAAACUUCUUCAUCAAUUGAAUCAACUAUUGGACUGUAUCUUAUCACCACAACUCUAAAAGGAUGAAAGAUCAAGUUACAUCCAUUCCUCCUGCUAAUAAUAAAACUUGCAGAUUUGAUAUGUAUGUUGUACUAUAGACUGUCUACAACAGUCUCAUAAUCAUAUAAAAAUCUGAGAUAGGUAAAAUUUUACAAGAAAUUUUGUAUAUGUCUUGUUUUCUGACAGAAUAAUGUCUGAAAUUUGUGUCAUUGCAAGAGGUGUGAAAACUGUUUACAAGUGGAAAAUCAGGGAAUUUUUGAUAUUGUUUUGCUGUUACUCUUCACUCGUUUAUUAAAAAAAAAUUAUAAAUUAAAAAAAAAAUAAAAUAAAUAUAUUUUUUCCAAUC